rnacentral:snRNA from 1 species
GGAUGUGAAGGUGACCUGGCUGCAUCAUCUGUCGCCCCAUUGAGUGUCAGGGUUGAUCCGGCCUGUCUGACUGGUUAGGUGGGUUUCCCCUUAUCCUCUUCCUCACCUCACGUGGUGCCCUCACCCCUGCUGCAGCUCAGCUGAAGGGAAGACCUCCCUGGCAUAGAGCAGGACCUACGUCCAGGGAAUGUGCCAGAAACUCCACACAAGCUCUCCAGGUUGCACAGAGUAUCUUAGAAGUUGAAGACCUUGCCUGUAUCAUAAAGUAACCAUUGAAUUGCUAGACCAUGGCAAGGUGGGGAACUGGUACAAUAAGGGGCAGGAAAAAUCUGAAAGUCUUAGGAAGUUUU